rnacentral:lncRNA from 1 species
CUAAUGACAACAGUGGCACUGAGGAAGCCUUUGUGGAAUUUAAGAAGGAUCUUUUAGGCUGCUGUGUUUCUUUGAAUCUGAGAAGCCAUCAUUUGUUAUUUGUAUUACCAGUGUCAUCAUAACCCCCAUUUUAGGGGGGAAAAAGAAGAAAUAAUAUGGUAAAAUGUAAUGAUUUGGAGAAUGUGUUCUCCAUGUAUUUUUAAGUUUUAAAAAAGUGGGUUAAGAUACAUUAUGCCUGGUAUUAAGAAAAAACUAACAUGUCUAUACAUACAUAAACUAUCCUCAUUCAACAAUGACCAGAUCCUAUGAGACACAAACUUCACCCUAAGGGUUUGCACCUUUUUGAGAAUUUAACGCCAUGUUGCAAGAGGGCACCCAAGGAAAAUGUCACCCCUUUGCUGGCCAGGCAGGGACGCUGAGAUGCUGACCACAGAGAGCCAGUGUCACAGCACAGCCUAAACAAAGGCCCGGGGCUGCAGGUGAGGACCUCCAAGUCUCUCUGGUCCUGAAAAAGCAACGUGUCUUGUGAGCCAAUAAGGAGCCCCUUGGAUGCCAGCCUGGCUGACGUAGCUCAGGGCAUCUCCGAGGCACCGUCAGCUGAGGCAGGACAAAGGAAGGGGAUGUUCCCAUGGCACCACACUAUGAUGCCUUGACAAGGACCCCUGCACCCCGUUUUGUGGUUCAUUCUUAUUUUGCUGAAAGGAGCUCUUCCGCUUCCUCCGAGAUAAACAUUCCUAACAUCAUUUCUUCUGAGCCGGCCAGCCAAGAGAACAGCUGGGAGCUCUCCGAGCACGGGGAGAGCGUGUUCAUUUUCUGGAACUCAGCUGAGAAUCUUUUCUCCAGGAGACCCCAAUAAGCCAUUGCAAAUAAACAAAAUGAAGUUGCUGGGGAAACUGACGGCCAGGAAGCUAGAGCUGGUGUAGCCCUGGGGAGAAGAAUGGAGUCAGCCCCUAACCCUGGGGUUGCUGGUGCUGGGCGCUGCAGUUGGCAGGCGCUGGGCUCCUCUGGAUGCCAGGCUCUGCAUGUCCAGAACUGCAAUCCUGCAUGUCCACGAGGCUAAUCCAGCCUGAGCGUGGCCUUACAGCUUUCCCAGUAAUCCUAAAGUGCCGAGAUUGUAGGUGUGAGCUGCAUGCCUGGCCCCAAUGAAAAAACAUUUAAAGCUUCAAGACAAUGGCAAUUACCAAGGCCUGGAUAUAUACAUUAUAUAAUUGUUAUGUAAUUAUUAAUGUGGCACAGAACAACAAAUACGGAUCUUGCAGACAGAAAAAAAUUGUGGUCAUCCUCCUUAUGAACUUUCUUGAUUGAUUUCAUAAAACAUCUAUAAUCAUUGUUUAAUCUGAG